rnacentral:rRNA from 1 species
UACGUAGGGGGCAAGCGUUGUCCGGAAUCAUUGGGCGUAAAGCGCGUGUAGGCGGCCCGGUAAGUCCGCUGUGAAAGUCCAGGGCUCAACCCUGGAAUGCCGGUGGAUACUGUCGGGCUCGAGUCCGGAAGAGGCGAGUGGAAUUCCUGGUGUAGCGGUGAAAUGCGCAGAUAUCGGGAGGAACACCAGUAGCGAAGGCGGCUCGCUGGGCCAUUCCUGACGCUGAGACGCGAAAGCUAGGGGAGCGAACAGG